rnacentral:rRNA from 1 species
GCUACGAUAGGUAGGGGCCCUGAGAGGGGGAUCCCCCACACUGGUACUGAGACACGGACCAGACUCCUACGGGAGGCAGCAGUGAGGAAUAUUGGGCAAUGGAGGCAACUCUGACCCAGCCAUGCCGCGUGCAGGAAGACUGCCCUAUGGGUUGUAAACUGCUUUUAUACAGGAAGAAACACCGCUACGUGUAGCGGCUUGACGGUACUGUAAGAAUAAGGACCGGCUAACUCCGUGCCAGCAGCCGCGGUAAUACGGAGGGUCCAAGCGUUAUCCGGAAUCAUUGGGUUUAAAGGGUCCGCAGGCGGUCAAUUGAGUCAGAGGUGAAAUCCCAUAGCUUAACUAUGGAACUGCCUUUGAUACUGGUUGACUUGAGUCAUAUGGAAGUAGAUAGAAUGUGUAGCGUAGCGGUGAAAUGCAUAGAUAUUACACAGAAUACCGAUUGCGAAGGCAGUCUACUACGUAUGUACUGACGCUCAUGGACGAAAGCGUGGGGAGCGAGCAGGAUUAGAUACCCUGGUAGUCCACGCCGUAAACGAUGGAUACUAGUUGUUGGGGUUUACCUCAGUGACUAAGCGAAAGUGAUAAGUAUCCCACCUGGGGAGUACGGUCGCAAGACUGAAACUCAAAGGAAUUGACGGGGGCCCGCACAAGCGGUGGAGCAUGUGGUUUAAUUCGAUGAUACGCGAGGAACCUUACCAGGGCUUAAAUGUAGUCUGACAGCUUUAGAGAUAGAGUUUUCUUCGGACAGAUUACAAGGUGCUGCAUGGUUGUCGUCAUCUCGUGCCGUGAGGUGUCAGGUUAAGUCCUAUAACGAGCGCAACCCUUGUCGUUAGUUGCCAGCAUGUAAAGAUGGGGACUCUAGCGAGACUGCCGGUGCAAACCGCGAGGAAGGUGGGGAUGACGUCAAAUCAUCACGGCCCUUACGUCCUGGGCCACACACGUGCUACAAUGGUAUGGACAAUGAGCAGCCAUCUGGCAACAGAGAGCAAAUCUAUAAACCAUAUCACAGUUCGGAUCGGAGUCUGCAACUCGACUCCGUGAAGCUGGAAUCGCUGGUAAUCGGAUAUCAGCCAUGAUCCGGUGAAUACGUUCCCGGGCCUUGUACACACCGCCCGUCAAGCCAUGGAAGCUGGGAGUGCCUGAAGUCGGUCACCGCAAGGAGCCGCCUAGGGUAAAACUGGUAACUAGGGCUAAGUAACAAGGUA